rnacentral:rRNA from 1 species
AACGAACGCUGGCGGCAGGCUUAACACAUGCAAGUCGAACGCACCUUUCGGGGUGAGUGGCAGACGGGUGAGUAACGCGUGGGAAUCUACCCUUCUCUACGGGAUAGCUCCGGGAAACUGGAAUUAAUACCGUAUACGUCCUGAGGGAGAAAGAUUUAUCGGGGAAGGAUGAGCCCGCGUUGGAUUAGCUAGUUGGUGGGGUAAAGGCCUACCAAGGCGACGAUCCAUAGCUGGUCUAAGAGGAUGAUCAGCCACAUUGGGACUGAGACACGGCCCAAACUCCUACGGGAGGCAGCAGUGGGGAAUAUGGGACAAUGGGCGAAAGCCUGAUCCAGCCAUGCCGCGUGAGUGAUGAAGGCCCUAGGGUUGAAAAGCUCUUUCAGUGGGGACGAUAAUGACGGUACCCACAGAAGAAGCCCCGGCUAACUUCGUGCCAGCAGCCGCCGUAA